rnacentral:rRNA from 1 species
UCAAACUUAAGAGUUUGAUCCUGGCUCAGAACGAACGCUGGCGGCAGGCCUAACACAUGCAAGUCGAACGAACCUUCGGGUUAGUGGCGCACGGGUGCGUAACGCGUGGGAAUAUGCCCAUAGGUAAGGAAUAACUGCUGGAAACGGUAGCUAAUACCUUAUAAUAUCUCAGGAUCAAAGAUUUAUCGCCUAUGGAUUAGCCCGCGUCAGAUUAGAUUGUUGGUGAGGUAAAAGCUCACCAAGUCGACGAUCUGUAGGGGGUCUGAGAGGAUGAUCCCCCACACUGGUACUGAGACACGGACCAGACUCCUACGGGAGGCAGCAGUGAGGAAUAUUGCACAAUGGAGGAAACUCUGAUGCAGCCAUGCCGCGUGAGUGAAGAAGGCCUUAGGGUUGUAAAGCUCUUUCAAUAGUGAAGAUAAUGACGGUAGCUAUAGAAGAAGCUCCGGCUAAAUUCGUGCCAGCAGCCGCGGUAAUACGAAUGGAGCAAGCGUUGUUCGGAAUCACUGGGCUUAAAGCGUAUGUAGGCGGAUUUACAAGUCAGGAGUGAAAUCCCGGGGCUCAACCUCGGAACUGCUCUUGAAACUGUAAGUCUAGAAUACUGGAGAGGUUGGGAGAAUUCCUAGUGUAGAGGUGAAAUUCGCAGAUAUUAGGAGGAAUACCAGUGGCGUAGGCGCCCAACUGGACAGUUAUUGACGCUCAGAUACGAAAGCGUGGGGAGCAAACAGGAUUAGAUACCCUGGUAGUCCACGCCGUAAACGAUGUGUGCUAGUUGUCGGGACUUAGUCUCGGUGACGGAGCGAAAGUAUUAAGCACACCGCCUGGGGAGUACGGCCGCAAGGUUAAAACUCAAAGGAAUUGACGGGGACCCGCACAAGCGGUGGAGCAUGUUGUUUAAUUCGAAGCAACGCGAAGAACCUUACCCACUCUUGACAUCCUCCUUAGGACUUGCAGAGAUGCUUGUCUUCGGUUCGGCCGGGGGAGUGACAGGUGCUGCAUGGCUGUCGUCAGCUCGUGUCGUGAGAUGUUUGGUUAAGUCCAGCAACGAGCGCAACCCUUAUCGUAUGUUGCCAGCAUUUAGUUGGGCACUCGUGCGAGACUGCCGGUGACAAGCCGGAGGAAGGUGGGGACGACGUCAAGUCAUCAUGGCCCUUACGAGUGGGGCUACAAACGUGCUACAAUGGUAGUGACAGUGGGCAGCGACCUCGCGAGGGGGAGCUAAUCUCCAAAAACUAUCUCAGUUCGGAUUGUACUCUGCAACUCGAGUGCAUGAAGUUGGAAUCGCUAGUAAUCGCGCAUCAGCAUGUCGCGGUGAAUACGUUCCCGGGUCUUGUACACACCGCCCGUCACGUCAUGGGAGUUGGUUCUACCCGAAGGCGCCGAGCUAACCUCGGAGGCAGGCGACCACGGUAGGGUCAGCGACUGGGACGAAGUCGUAACAAGGUAGCCGUAGGGGAACCUGCGGCUGGAUCACCUCCUUUCUAAGG